rnacentral:rRNA from 1 species
AGUAACACGUGGAUAACCUACCUAUAAGACUGGGAUAACUUCGGGAAACCGGAGCUAAUACCGGAUAACAUAUUGAACCGCAUGGUUCAAUAGUGAAAGGCGGCUUUGCUGUCUUAUAGAUGGAUCCGCGCCGUAUUAGCUAGUUGGUAAGGUAACGGCUUACCAAGGCAACGAUACGUAGCCGACCUGAGAGGGUGAUCGGCCACACUGGAACUGAGACACGGUCCAGACUCCUACGGGAGGCAGCAGUAGGGAAUCUUCCGCAAUGGGCGAAAGCCUGACGGAGCAACGCCGCGUGAGUGAUGAAGGUCUUCGGAUCGUAAAACUCUGUUAUCAGGGAAGAACAAAUGUGUAAGUAACUGUGCACAUCUUGACGGUACCUGAUCAGAAAGCCACGGCUAACUACGUGCCAGCAGCCGCGGUAAUACGUAGGUGGCAAGCGUUAUCCGGAAUUAUUGGGCGUAAAGCGCGCGUAGGCGGUUUUUUAAGUCUGAUGUGAAAGCCCACGGCUCAACCGUGGAGGGUCAUUGGAAACUGGAAAACUUGAGUGCAGAAGAGGAAAGUGGAAUUCCAUGUGUAGCGGUGAAAUGCGCAGAGAUAUGGAGGAACACCAGUGGCGAAGGCGACUUUCUGGUCUGUAACUGACGCUGAUGUGCGAAAGCGUGGGGAUCAAACAGGAUUAGAUACCCUGGUAGUCCACGCCGUAAACGAUGAGUGCUAAGUGUUAGGGGGUUUCCGCCCCUUAGUGCUGCAGCUAACGCAUUAAGCACUCCGCCUGGGGAGUACGACCGCAAGGUUGAAACUCAAAGGAAUUGACGGGACCCGCACAGCGGUGGAGCAUGKGGUUAAUUCGAAGCACGCGAAGAACCUUACCAAAUCUUGACAUCCUUGACGCUCUAGAGAUGAGUCUUCCCUCGGGGACAAGUGACAGUGGUGCAUGAUGUCGU